UAAAAAUAUGCCGAGUGCCGACCACCGGCACCUAUCUGGAAUAGAAGUGAAGAGAAGAUGCUUAUCCGCCAUCUUCUCUCCAACGCGCCCUCGCAUCUCCUUGCUAUUCCAGGCUCUAAUCUCGCCCGGAAUACUCAUAUUCUCUCGUCUCCUCCGCAUCCUUUGCACCCCGUCUCUCUUCCUCGCCUUUCCAUUCAACCCCACAACCCCGCUUUCGUCGCCAGAGCCAGUGCUGACAAGCGGGAUAAAACAAUCGAAGAAGAACUCGAGGAAGUCAAAGCUAAAAUAUUAGAAGAAGACGAAGAAGAAGGGAAUGGAGGUGAAGUAGGAGACAGGGAGGUGUUCCCAUUUUCUGAUGGAUUUCGGGGAGAUGAGGGGGAUAGCGAAGGGGAAGGCAAAGGGUUCUCGGAUUCGGAUGUACGUAGUGGGAGAAGAGACGAGAAGGAUUACGACAGAGACCCCGAGAUCGCGGAGAUACUUGGUAGCUGUUUCGAUGAUCCCCAGAAGGCCCAGGCUCGAGUGGAAGAGAGGAUAAGAAGGAAGAGGAACAAAAUAGUGCAAGCCAAAACUGGGUCCGCCACACCCAUGAGAGUAGCAUUCAACAAGUUUGAUUUUUCAAACUCCUAUAUAUGGUUUGAAUUUUACAAUGCUCCAUUACCAAAAGAUGUGUCACUAAUCUGUGAUGCUAUUCGAGCUUGGCAUAUUGUUGGGCGCCUUGGUGGGUGCAAUUCUAUGAACAUGCAAAAGCCAUUGCUGUCACAGUUGGUUAUUAGAAUGAGAUCCUCUUCUUCGUCAUAUAACCAAUGGGUAUGGCAGCAUAUCAGUGAGAAGACUCAUUCUGCUGUUGAACAGAGCAGUUAUCACAAGCACCGUUGGAUAAUAAAAGACCAAGUUAUGAUGCAAGUCAGGGAGCAAAUGUGACGCCAACUACCUUUUACAACAUUGGCGAUCUCGAGAUUCAAGACAACUUAGCACGCAUAUGGGUAGAUAUUGGUACUAGUGAACCAUUGCUUCUGGAUGUGCUGAUUAAUGCCUUGACCUGCAUAAGUUCAGACCAUGUAGGGAUCAAACAAGUGGUGUUCGGGGGAUCAGAAUUUGAGAAUUGGAAGGAGAACUUCUCAUCGGAGGAUGCUGGCUGCAGCAUUCACAAGAUAUAACUUUUUCUCUAAUUUAUAAAAGUAAAUUGCUGUCAAGUAGCUCUGUUCCAUCUGCAGCUACAUUGUUCUUUGGGAUUCUCCCAGAAGUGACAUUCACAAUAACAUUGAUGAGUAUUUUGGUCUUAGGAUCCACUGUUUGCUAGUUUGAACAAAGAGUAGCUUACAUUGUCAUUAGCUAUAUCUAUUGCUCGGGAUUUAUGCUUUCCAUUUGCUCAAUAGUCAUGUUAGCUCCAUUUAGCAUGAGGGUAUAGGUAUUUGCAAGUAUAGUAUAGAUCUCCCAUGACUGAAGAUGUAAAAGGAGGAUAUGAAAAAUCCUUCGAGAUAUAAUAACUACCAAAUAGUGUUGAUCU